rnacentral:rRNA from 1 species
UACGUAGGGACCGAGCGUUGUCCGGAAUCAUUGGGCGUAAAGAGCGUGUAGGCGGCCAUUUAAGUCCUGCGUGAAAUCCUGCGGCUCAACCGCAGGCGGUCGUGGGAAACUGGAUGGCUAGAGUGCGGGAGAGGUAAGUGGAAUUCCGAGUGUAGAGGUGAAAUUCGUAGAUAUUCGGAAGAACACCAGUGGCGAAGGCGACUUACUGGACACAUAUUGACGCUGAGGUGCGAAAGCGUGGGGAGCGAACAGG